AACGAACGCUGGCGGCGUGCUUAACACAUGCAAGUCGAACGCGAAAUUUUUCUUCGGAAGAAGAGUAGAGUGCCGCACGGGUGAGUAUCGCGUAAGUUAUCUACCUCGGCAUCUGGAAUAACUCACCGAAAGGUGUGCUAAUACCGGAUACGUUGAGUAAUCAAGAAAGGUGGCCUCUGAAUAUGCUACUGUGCUGAGAUGAGCUUGCGCACCAUUAGCUAGUUGGUAGGGUAAUGGCCUACCAAGGCGACGAUGGUUAGCGGGUCUGAGAGGAUGAUCCGCCACACUGGAACUGGAACACGGACCAGACUCCUACGGGAGGCAGCAGUGAGGAAUAUUGCGCAAUGGGGGCAACCCUGACGCAGCGACGCCGCGUGGAUGAUGAAGGCCUUCGGGUCGUAAAAUCCUGUCAAGUGGAAAGAAGUGCAUAGUGGUUAAUACCUGCUAUGUUUGACGGUACCACUGAAGGAAGCACCGGCUAACUCCGUGCCAGCCGCCGCAGUAAGAC
rnacentral:rRNA from 1 species